UCGAGGAUCUUCGGCAAUGGGCGCAAGCCUGACCGAGCGACGCCGCGUGUGCGAUGAAGGCCUUCGGGUUGUAAAGCACUGUCGGGGGGAAGAAAAGCCCGCAAGGGCCUGAUCGACCCCCGGAGGAAGCACGGGCUAAGUUCGUGCCAGCAGCCGCGGUAAGACGAACCGUGCGAACGUUGUUCGGAAUCACUGGGCUUAAAGGGCGCGUAGGCGGGCCCGCCAGUCAGGGGUGAAAGCCCACGGCUCAACCGUGGAAGUGCCUUUGAUACUGCGGGUCUCGAGGGAGGUAGGGGCGUGCGGAACUUCCGGUGGAGCGGUGAAAUGCGUAGAUAUCGGAAGGAACACCGGUGGCGAAAGCGGCGCGCUGGACCUCUUCUGACGCUGAGGCGCGAAAGCCAGGGGAGCAAACGGGAUUAGAUACCCCCGUAGUCC
rnacentral:rRNA from 1 species